UCAAUAAGGUGGUAGCUGAUUCCAAUAGCACCAGUGAAAGUUUGAAACCACGGGGUAGUAUAGACUCGACUCCAAACAAGCAGAGGGUUUAAGAAGAGAGUAUCCAAUGUGCUCUUUAUAGCCUUAAAGCAGUGGUUCGGGAAUGAAACACGGACAUCAGAGGAAUACGUAGUAAGUCAAGUCAGAAAACAAUUCGAAAGUAGGAAUAAGGAGUAGGAUAAUCAAACAAAGAAUCAAUAUUGACACAAGAAAAGGGAAUUCACCAGUGCACUAAGAGACUGAAACUGAACUCGGGAAUGAAAGAAACCGGAAUUCAACCAUCAAGUAAGGGCACCGAGAUUCUACAGUUUUGUAAAGAAUUAGUGGAAAAGCUAGGGUACCAAUAUCAUAUAGAACUGUCAUGGCACCAAUAAGACCUUAGUCGGGAACUCAAACUCUCACGAGGAUAGAAACGAUGUCAACAAGACUGACCUUAGAGCCUUGCUUGUGCUAGUUCGACCUUGUCCCAAGUCUUAUAUACUGAGCUACAAAACGGAGAGUGGAGUUAUUUACCGCGGGAGCACAUUUCCUUAGUGGUACGCUGAGUUGCACUAAGUAGAUAGGAGAAUCCAAAAAGGGGGUAAUAAGGAAUCCAGAUAAUAAGUAGGAGUCAUAAGUAGGAGAGUGACCCCAGUGCUAACAAGAAUAGAGCUCACGGACGGAAAGGUGGAACCCAACUACUGAUAAGAGGAAUCAAACCUAUGCUAAUCGGAAUGACGCAAAGAAGCUUGAAUCCAACUACUAUUAUUAGACCUUAGCUACUUACUUCGAAGCGGAACCUAUUACUUAUGGGAAUCAAACUGUUAACAAACGGAUAGUAGUAGAGGACAUAGAACCAAACUCCGUAUUAGAAGAAUUGCACCCGGAAUGCGACUAGUAAGUCAUAGGCUUAAAUCACUACAGGAAAGAAAGGCAUUAGUAAUAACAAGAAUAGAACAGGGGAAUACGAGAGUAAAGUGUCAAUCAAAAGAAUAGAACGCGAGAGCCAACACCAAGAACUGUAAGCGUUAACCUAGGAGCGGAGCCUAUAUCUACUGCUUUAAGCCUGGGUUCACCUCUUCCUUUCUUUCAAGCUAUUAUUCCUUUCAGAAAGUCUUUCUCAGCUGUAAAAGAGCCUCGAGGCUAUUCUUCCCCACUGAAAUGGUUCCCCCCAUACAAAAUACAUACUAUAGGAAUGAAACAUAGGAAGUCAGAACUCCACUCGAUACAUGGAAUCUGGAGCGUGGGAAUGCAAUAGGAAAACGAGAACCAAACACGUAUUACACAAAACAUACACACAUCAACUUAGGGCUACCUUCGCGCAUUCGGCGAGGAGCCAUUCACUCGUUCUGUGUAGGGAAAGGAAGGCAUACAAAGGUCUUGGAGCAGCACCUUUGCUAUGUCUACGCAAAACACACACAUCAACUUAGGGCUACCUUCGCUAAUUCUGCGAGGAGCCAUUCACUCGUUCUGUGUGUGCGCGGCCGUGUACUCAACUAAGUGUUUGACGUGUACUCCACUAAGCCCUAAGCCCUUGAGUAGCACCAUUCAUUCAGAAAGUCUCUAAGCUAAUUCUGCAAAGUGGCAGAAAGUCUCUAAGCUAAUUCUGCAAAGUGGUAUCGCUCAUUCGGCGAGGAUUCGAAUUACAUACAGACAGCAGAACCGGGUUGGAAGUUGGAAUGAAAGAAUGGAGUUUACCAGCGAAAAACAAAGACUGGCGCCGACACCCUCCCUUAAUUAGGAAACUGAUGGGGUAUGGUCUGGCCUAUCCUUAAGUUGUAGACCCGAAACCCUGUAAUGGCUUUCUACGUAAUGGCUUUCUACCUAAAACUAGGCGAACAGAAGAACGCAACUUAGAACCAAUAACAAAAACACAGAUGUAAGAGCACUGCUUAGGAUCUCGAUGUUACUUAACGAAUACUUAGAAGAGGGGUUCCGACUAAGAGAAUACAAAGAAAGAGACUCCGAAUAGGGAUGUGACUUAACGAUAACCAAUAGGAAAGAGACUCCGAAUAGGGAUGUGACUUAACGAUAACCAAUAGAGAUGUUAUUUGACUUAACACCAAACCAUAGCUCGAUCAUUAAAGUGAGAAACUCGGUACCUUUUUAGACCCCUUAUUGACUUUGUUUCCUUCAUAAAACAUAAGAGAACUACUCUAAUGAAACAUAAGAGAACUACUCCAAAUAUUCUAAUGAGAAAAGAAAGAUUCAAUUAGAAUGAGAACACUGUCCACUACUACUGUCUUGAAGCCUUUGUUCUGUGUUUUCGCCGUGUUAGUUACCACCUAUUAAUACUGCUAUUAAUACAGAUUGAAAUCAAUGAUCAAAAGAUUGUGGAACACUGUCCACUACGACUGAAACCAGCGCAGAAUAUAGAAGCGUCUACCACUGUAAUAAAGAAAGCAACCACAUUACUAGAUCUCGGGCUUACAACCAUGACUUUGAUUCCCGAACUAUGGUAAUUUGCUUGGCGAAUCAAACACUCAAGUCAGAACUAAUCCACCCUUACAAGAAUAUGGCUCCCAUGGAAUAAGGGCAGAGAGGCGACAUCAUAAUUGACCUCUACAGACAGGAUAUAAGCAUGAGGAUAGGGAUGCUAACUACUGAUACUGAACCCAAUAUCUACUUUUACACCGAUGUGAAGCUGGCAACUGAUGCGCAUGGGAUAGAAUAGCACCAAGGCCAGUGAAACCCAGGCUAGUGAGAAGCAAAUGCUAACCAACAAGACAGCCGUUGUUGAAUAGGAAGAAAAGCCAGCUUUUGUCCUCAUUUCUCUAGAAGCACACGAACAAUUAGGAUUUCUCUAGAAGCAUACGAACAAUUAGGAUACCACACACACACACACAGCUACUUAACUUCGCUUAGAUCGCUCAUUCCACGAGUAGACAAAACGGGAGUAGACAAACCGGAUGUAAACAUAAACACGAGUAGAAAACGUUAUUAAACACGAGUAGAAACCUACUUCUUUCUUAUUAUUAUUGUAUAUAUCGUAGCAUGUGCUUAACGCGCCAAAACUCUAUCUUGAAGAGCGCGCCCCCUCCAUCUACGAGAAUGCAACAUAAGAUACCAUGGAACGCACCAAAAGAAAUAAGGGUCAUUGUACGAGAUAGAAUUCACCCCCAAAUACAUGAAUGUAGCCGCUCCCCACAGACAAGUGGCUGAGUACGGCAGAAGAAAACUAGCAAUAAGGAACUCUUUUUCAUUGUACAGGAAUGACUCCUCUAAUGGGUGCUCUAAGAGUGGGUUGAACCUUGAAUCAUACCGAAAUGAAUUAAGGGCACAGCACUUGGUCUAACUACUAAGCUUGUCGACUUGGCCGGCUCACCGUUGCUUGGCUAGUCCUAAUUAAGCCCUCUUCCUAUUACACUUUCUUUCAUUGCUCCUCUCUUGCUUGGCAUUCCCUCUCUCUUCCUAUUCUACUUCCAUUGGAACCAGUUGUCGCUGCAAUUCUCGCCUGUUACGGUGCUGGUCAACCAACAGGUGUUUUUUAUGGACUAGUUGUUCCUGCAUGCAAUUCUCGCCUGUUACGGUGCUGGUCAACCAACAGGUGUUUUUUUAUGGACUAGUUCUUUCCUUGAAGGCAGUUACCUUGGAUGUGGGUCUAUCCGAUUUGGAGAGCUACCCCGUUUGGCUAAAAACGGACUUUUCUGGAGCACCCCUCUAUAAGGAAGGUUUAGUUGAAUGCCUUUCUCUCUAAAAGGUUUAGUUGAAUGCCUUUUCAUUAACAGACAGAGUGUAUGGCGGCGUGACGCUGUCUAAGGUCAAUUUAGAAGUCUUUGUUUCAAGUGCUUGCUUCAAGUGUCUUUGUUCAAGUGCUUGCUUCAAGUAAUGUAAUAAGAUGGUUGUCGAACGGACUGCCCAUUAGGAUACCUAUCGGCUGUUUCUGACUUUUCCAGGUAACUCAGUGACCUCCUACUCUUUCUUUUCGUUUAGCAGCACUCGAUCUUUCCACUCUACUUCAGUACUUUUAGAUCCGAUGAAAACCCACUCUAUACAUAUAAGGGGCUCGAGGUAACUCCACUAGACCAGAUCGAACUACGGUGCCGGACUGAAUUGGGAUGGCAGCGUGAGCAGACAGCGAGGGAGGUACUACGGGACCGGCCUCACCAAUCUCUUUCUAUUUAUCAGCACUUUUCUUUGGCAAAAAACACUCGGCUUCUGCUAAAACGAAAUGGAAUCCUAAAAAAACAUCUUUAUUAAGGCGAUGAUCCUCUUUAUGCUAGACGAACGACCCCUUCUCUCGGCGAAUCACACUGGUGGUAGGAAAACGGCAGGCACGACUCUCUUCGUGUGGAUCCAAGGCCUUCCUAGUCACAUACAUAUGGUAGGAUUCUAAGAGGUUCAUUACCUCCCAUUUAUGAGUUACACGCAGCCCUCCUACAGCAAGCAACCUAGAGCUUUAUAUAGCCGAUGAUCUUCUGCCUCAUGUUUCCGACUCCAUGAAUCAUCAGAGUCUCUUCUCUCGUCAAAAGGCCAUAUAAAGAAAGACAAAAGAAUCGAAUAAUGUUGAUGGAUGACACGAAGGUUCGAGGGAAGUAGUUAGCCUUCACCAGAAUAGACAGCGGCCUCUUGUGCUUCAUCUCACUUCAUCUAUUUACCUCGACUGCCAUCCGUGAAUGUGUUAAGUGCUUAGAGAGCCAUUUCUAUCCCAUAGCUACGUCGGCGCUCUACUGUCUCAUAGUUCCAAGUAUAGAAAACAAACCUUGUAGUCUUAGUUAUGGCCCAUGAUUACCCGUGGCCGAUCAGGAUCCCAAUCAUUUCGUCCUAAACUCCUUUGUCUUUAUUGGCCAGCUUCCCCGUAGUAUAAGCCUUUCCACUUCUAUCUCUGUCCGGUAAGCAUAGAACACUUAAGCCUACCCGCUGGCUAACAAAGCUGACGCUCACGCAUCUUACUACACGGUUGGUUGCUGACAAUAAUCAUUUAGAAUAGGUAGGUCAAAAAGAAAGCUAUUCCAGAGAUAGAUGGGCAGGAAUCCGGAGGAGUUGAAAUCAUCAUAUAUCUCUUUGCCUUUGAGGUCCCGGUAGUAUCAAGCCAUAAACCUUGUCUUUCACAGGCAAACUCACGUAAUCUAUAGUCUCUGGAACUCUAACCACCCUUGUUUGUUCUGUUGUUUGAUUCUUUGUAUCGCUGCUAUCUCAACGGAAUUGACUGCGGACCUCUCCCUUAUCCUGAUGGUCUGCUCCUAUACGAAUGCGGUCUAAAUCUGGGUUUGCAUAUCUUGAAGAAGGCGACACCUCCUCAUUGUCUUUGGUACCUUAAGCCUCGAUGGAAGACGAGGGCAAAACUCUUUGGAAGCGGAGACUGGGUCAAGAGAUAUAGCCCCAAUGAUGGAAACAGUGGGGUCCUGGAGGUUGGCAUCAUUGUUAUUCAUUGGACAGUGGCUGGCUUUCGAUCAUGGUCGUUGGGCUUCCUUUCUUGGCAUAUUGAAACUCACCCAUGGAAAUGAUUAGAUGAUGAUUAUGUAUAUUGGGCAUAUCCAUGAGACGUCCCAUGAUUAACCCUUCGAUGGUAUCUACACUAACGAUAACUCAACUCAACACCGGGGCAUCAUAUGAGAAUGAGUUUCUCGCGGAGUCAGUGUCCCCUUCGCCAGCAUCACAUCGAACCAUCUCUCCCUAUCUCUGAGAUAGAAAAUCCUAGUUGAGAUUAUUUCUGCCUAUUCAAUUCCUACAAUGCUUCUCUCUUUGUGCAGGUUUUGUAAACAGGGUUUCUUGCAAUUAUGGUUAUUAUUACCUAACUUCAGCGACAAAUCCGCCACUUGUCCAGAGGUAAGCAAAGUGAAUCCAAGCACGCACAGGGAAAACCUUUGAUCUCGCGAUCUAUUCUAAGUAGAACGCUCCCUCGACCUUGUCCUGGGUCCCUCUUCGCUAGCCUUAUUGCUGGCCGCCCACACCCUCUUUCUAAGAAUGAAGGAAUAGGUGAUUCCAAGCCAUAAACAUUGAUUUGAGAAAAGGACCCCUCUUCUCUUUUGGUAGCAUCUUGAUCUUUUCGCAUAGGACCAAAGGUCAUAUAAAGAAAGAAAGAAAGCUUAUUAUGGUGAAAGCUUAUUAUGGUACUAUUACCACUACGCUGGAAGGAAUGCCCUCAAAUAGCAAUCAGGCCUAGGAAAAUCUCUAUGGAAUGCCAUGAUUCCUUCUUAUAGUAUUUUGAUCUCUGAUUAUACUAUACUAAAGAGAAACUCCAAUGCAAGAGAAGGCGCUGCUAUGGAAUCAGGUCUUUCGGAAGAGAAUGCACAUUCAUAAAUGAUUGACUGCACCCUGUACUAAAGAAGGAGGCGCACCUCUAUCUCUAUCUACUUCAUUCUUUUUCCUUAGGCGCACCUCUUCAUUCAAGGAUUCUCUUCUUUUUCUUUAGGCGCACCUCUAUAUACUUCAUUCUCUUCUUUUUCCUUAGGUGCCCUUAGGGGAAUGGCAUAGCCUUCAAGUUCCGGGCGAGGCAUACGUUCUAUUUGCAUUUCGGGGCUUCUUGUCACUUUUUAGUACCAGCAGCCAUUUUCCUUUUGGGACCUUAAGAGACAGUGUUCAUUUCUCAAGAAUAUGGGAGUGAAGCUUAUCUUCGAAUUGGUGGAAAAGAAUCCCCUGUUUAUGUAUCCCAAUGGAGAUCUUCAUAUCCAAGAUCGGCGAGUUCUGUUCCAGCAGCUUGUCGAGCCAGUGCAAGAGACAGAAGAGAUAGAAUUGGUUUCUCUGAAUUGGCCUGUCCGUGGAAUAGGCGCUGGCCAGAGUACGCUUUAUAAGCAGCUUGAAUAGAAUUGCUUAAGUAAAGGCAACUUCUUUCUUCCCUUCCUAUUUGAUGGGGGUGCCUCCUCUUGCUCUAAAUUGUUCAAAAACGUCCCCUUGAAAAAAAGAGCUAAAUCACACAAUAGGACAGAAUACAAGUGUAAACUCACACCCAAGGCCCUUCCAGAACCUUUCCUUUACCUGUACUUAAGCAAGAGAUAUACUCUUAUAAGUCCAAUACAGAUCGAACGAAUAGAAUGAUUUAGCCGUUCUCGGGGGAAGCACUGAUUCAAAAGACUUCUCUUUCUUACUCCAUACUUUUCUUUAGAACAUUGCCUUCUCUUUCUUACCAAUUCUCUUUCUUACUAAUUCCUCUUUCUUACCAAUUCUCUUUCUUACAUUCGACUUAUCUUUCUUUUCUUACAUUCGAAUUAUCCUUCUGAAAAGGCCAGCCGCCAGAGUCACUUCCGAAGCGCGCACCCUCACAACAACUCCAAUUGUAAUAAGCAUCCAGUUUCACACGCUACGAACACUUCUAACACAGAACAUAAAAGAACCGUUAGGUAAUGAGGACCUCUUUCCCAGCCAGCUACAUUACCAGACUUGGAAGCCGCUCACUUUCAGCUACCCGUAUGAGUAGUUGUGGGAAGAUUCACUGUUUAGCCAAGGCCUUAAUGAAAGCCGAGCCCUUCUUUGUUCACCCGCAAGCCUGCUCCUUCGCAAACACUCGCAGUUCCUCUCGACGCCCCAGCUACGUUCAGUUUGAACUCACUUGCCCCAUACGUAAGGGAUACAAAUCUAUUUAGUUAUACUUCUUAGAACACGAAGACAUAUAUAUAUAUAUAUAUCUAUAUAGAGUAUCCAAUUUCAAUUGAAGGGCAAUUUCUUGCUCAGGUAUAAGGGGAAUCUAUGUAUGAACCCGGGGAGUUAACAUUUGAUAGACAAAAAGGGUGAAGUCAGCCAAUUCACCACUACUUUAUGAAAUGCUCAUCAUAACUAUAGAAUGAUGUUACCAAAUGAGAUUCUUUUCUUUUUGAUCGAGCUCCUACGAGAGAACGAACCCUAGGAAGAAAGGCGAGUCGAGCUCCUACUGGAUAUGAAGCGUAAUAGAUAGAUUCCAAUUGCGUCUCCCUGCCCUUGUGAUAUUGAACAUUCAAAUACGUUCCAAAUGUCAUGAGGCAGAUGGCUCUCUCCACUAAAGGCUUAUUCUGGGACUUUCUUCUUAAUGCUGCAACUCGGCCUGGCCCAACCAAGGCUUUUUGACCUCUUUGUAAGUAAAGUAGAAUAGGCUGUCUUUCUCUGUAAAAGACCAGGCUUUCAGCACCUUGCUUGAUGGCCCACAUCAGUGCCCCGGCUUGACCUACUCUAGAAUUGUACCCGUCUAAUGUUUCGCCUACUUUGUUAUGUGUUUGUAUCCGUGUCUUGGCGGGUAGGGGUGGUCUUCUUCUCCUUUACUAGUAUACGCUUGGCAGUUUACAUAGGUAGAUUAGAGCCCAGUUCCUGUUGCCCUUACUUAUAACGGUAGAAUCCCCAGUUCCAGUUAUAAAGUAGAGUUCCUGUUCCAGCUCCAGUUCUUGUUAGAAUUGAAUACCGACCCUGUUCUUAUGAUAGUCAUAAUCCCUUGGUUCAUCUGUAAUCCUAUGAGAAUUCUUGUUGGAAUGUUUUUCACAGUGUCGUACGGUACGAAGCCUUAGAAGCAGCAGUGCGUGUAGGGCAGUUUCGAGUCUCAAUUCCCAUUCUUAAAUAAGAUAAGAUAGGCUAAGCAACAGAGCCUCAUUCAGUUUAAAGUAGCCAGCAAGCUCAGAAGUAGGAAUGAAAGAAAUAGUUUACAGAGGAAGCAGAGCCAGAGCCAGAGAGUGCUAGUGGAAAGUCAGAAUGCAACUAAGAGGUAAGCUAGUAGGAAAGUCAGAUAGAGUUAGUGCGGGUAGGGCACUUAUAAGAGGCGAGUUCGGGUGCUCAAACUCUAGUAUAACACAACAUCCUUAUGCAUCCAUUGAACAUGUUAGGUCUAGCUCUGGUGUAUUCGGCGGCUCCCUAUUCAGUGCUAUGCAUGGUUCCUUGGUAACCUCUAGUUUGAUCAGGGAAACCACUGAAAACGAAUCUGCAUUAGCAGGUUACAGAUUCGGUCAAGAAGAAGGAAGAGACUUACAAUAGAGUAUUGUAGCUGCUCAUGGUUAUUUAAGCCGAUUGAUCCUCCAAUAUGCUAGUUUCAACAACUCUCGCUACUUCUUGACAUGGAUUCUUGGCAGCUUGGCCAGUUAUUGGUAUCUGGGUCACAGCUUUAGGUAUUAGCACCAUGGCUUUCAACCUCAAAUGCAAAAUAGGAAGUUGAUUGACUUAAGAAUUAUGGAAUAUUGAACUACUGUUGGAGUGUUAUUACUAUAUUAUGGAAUAUGAACGAUAGAUGAUUUUAAGUAUUCCUUGACUUAGCACUGUCCCUACUGGCGAUAGAAGUGGAAAGUUGAAAGAGUGAAGUAUUGUAUAGAAUCACAGGUAAUAUUCAAAACUUAUAUGCUAUUAGAGAUGGAUGCUAUGAAUACUAUACUUAAAACAGUCCAAACAACAAUGCUUGAGCAGUAUCAAGUAGAGUAGAAAGACAUUUGUACCUUGUAGAGUCGUAGACCAGCUCUAAGUGCAGUGUUCAAUUCCUAUACAUCUUACCUAUAUUAUAGAAGGAAGCAGUUAUAUGUUUUAGAGCCAGGGCUGCUUAGGUGGAGCCAACAGUCAGAACUCGCUUACCGGACAGAUACAAGACUUGAUACGAUAGCAUUGCUUUACUCAUUUCUCAUUUAGUGCUCUCCUCUUAUAGAAUAGAGUCAGAAAUGGGAGAGGAUAGUAAUGAAACAGAGAGUUAGUGUAACACAGAAAGAAUUGAAGUAACCCCACACAGCUUGAAGUUAAGUAAAGGGUUGAAGACAGCUUGUAGAGUAAGUCAAGGCAAAGGUCUAUGUUAUUAGGCUCAAAUUCACUAUAAGAUCUGAUAGGUUUCAUUUCAUAGGGAAUUUUCCAUUAGCUCUGUUUAACCUCCGUUCAAAUGUGUUUUUUCUGGGUUGGGUUUCUUACCUUGCGCGCCAAAGACAUCCUUCUUACUGUUAGCGCCCUAGAACCUUUGCUUUGCUUUGCUUCCCUUGCUCUAUGAGGAUAAACAGUAUAAGAAUCAAAAUACAGCAGUUAUGUUUUCGUCUUCAAGUGUAGAGUCAGGAUCAUGAGUUGAAUGCGCUGGUAAGAGAGCUGUUGGCGCAAGUUGACAGUAAAGUUUUCUCUGGUUAAGUCGAUGAGAUCAGUAGAGUGUUUUUCAUCCCGAGUUUCCAACUUCUUAUUUAGGGGUUUGCUGGGUCUGCAAGGGAAGCAGUUACGACUAAGUAAUAAUAGAAUAAGUCAGGGUGAACGGGUCUAUUCCAGUUCUGGACCAGUGCCCUUAUAAUUAAUGCACCAGUCUCAAGUCAAGUUUUCAAGGGGAAGAAGAAAGUGGAGUUUGGGCAAGCUUCAUUCUUCUCUUCCACUAAUUAAGUUAUGGCUCUGGACCACUACCUGGACUUACCGGUAUUCCACUAUCACUCUCCCAGGACCAGGGCAUUCUCAUUCUGCUGCUGAUAAAGAAACUAGAGCAGGCGAUUCUCCACUGUAAACUGGAACUGAAAGAGAAAGGUUCAAUUCCAACUUUGGAACAGAAAGAGACAACACUGCUUAACUGGCCCUUGCUUAAUAAGUAAACUCAUUACUAUAGAGUUCAAUUCUGUAUCUUAGUUGUAAAUGCGGAAGCCUAUGUAUUAUGGCCAAGCUCAAUAGAUAUACUUAGUGCGCUAGCAAUGUAGUAUAGGGCCUUCCUUCUAUUAUACUAUUUCUUAUCUGAGAACUUUACCUGGACUCGAUACCUGGACUCGAUACUAGAACUAUAUACUUGACUUCCUAACCUGUAGACUCAACUCCCACAGAUGCAACUGAUUGUCUUGGCCUACCUCUCCUCUGGUAAAGCACCGAACCAGUCUCUUUGGGUGCAAAUGAUUAGGCGUUGCUUGGCGGUUAUAACAAGUUCUAACAUAUCUGUAGAUCGAAUCAAGGGAAGAAACAUGUGUACGAUUGAAUGCUAGGGUUGCAAGUCAAGGUAGAAAGUGUCACGUUGAAAGAAAGGCCCAAGCAACGGGAUGAGCUACGUAGACAAAAUAGAAUAGUAGUGCUAAAGUUGUUACAAGUAGUGGUCCUGUUCUGGUGAUUGUUAGAGUGGAAGACCGAUCCUAUGAGAGUGUGAGUUGACAGUUCCAGCUGAGUAGUACUUGUUUUAUUCUUUAAUGCCAGUUGCAUCCCAGUAGUCGUAGCCCAGGUAGUCGUAGCCCAGGUAGUCGUAGCCCAGUUCUGGUUCUUGUUGAAUACCGAGUAGUAGAGUUCGGGGCGAUGUGACUCAAAUAGGCAUAUUUCCGAAUGUUACUAAUUUCUUUAGAUCAGAAGAAAACAGGAACUACUUGCUUGCCGUAGCGAAAACAGGAACUACUUGCUUGCCGGAGCAGUAAAGUCUCUCGGAGCAGGCGCUAGGUCAAGAUUCAAUGACUCUCUACUUUACCACUUGUAGGGCAUAUACUCUUUCUUAUGAGUGGAAUUCUGACCUUUCUACCACUGAGUGGAAUUCAUAGUUGAAGUUGAAUUCGAAAGAGAAGCUUCUUUUGAGGAGUAGUGAAAAAGAACACUUGUUAUCCGGUUUAUCCAGACCAGAUGAGUUGUCCCCUUGCCGAAACUGUAAAUAAGGGCCUCGUAUACAAGGUCAAGCGCCAAGAGCCUUUAGUCUGGAUUAAGCCAAGCCCAACUCACCAGGUAGUCAAUCUGACUCGCCGGGUAGUCAAUCUUACUCACCCACCGAGGUAGUCCACCAAUUACUUUGUUACUUUCACUCUAACUCCCCUAACUCCGACUCUUACCACCCUGUUGAUAAGCCUGCUCUACUUAGCUACUGCUUUAUCUCAUUAUGAAACUAACUGCUUUCAGUCUAUAACUCCUUUAUUGCAUUAUGUAUCUAACCUUUGAUUCUUUUAAUGCUUCCUUGCUUACCUACUUGUUAGUUAAAGAACCCGGGCCUACUCUAUUAGACUGUAGCUACUGUUUCCAAGACUUCAUCCAUAAAGCAACGAAUCUAACCACUGCUACCGAUGAGAAGCCAAUAGAAUCUAAUGAGAAUAGAAAUCCCCUCUACUUCAAUGAAAAGAAGAACAUAAAAGCCUUUUCCACUAUUUCCAAUAGGGCCGGGCGGUUUAUAACUCACUCUUCUUUCAGCAUCUUAUAGACUCUCCAUUAAAGGUAUAAUAAGUGCUAUUUUCUAUCGGGAGAGGAUCGGCGGAAGCUCGUGCAUUCCUUUCAUUCCCACCUUCAUAGGAAAGAUCUUACUGUUCCCUCCGAUCAAUGGUCGAAUAUGCUGCCGUUCCCCUAUCGGUCGAGAAGUCAACUCCUUGGGUGUGGACAGAAGCGUAUCUUAUCCCGAAACCAGAGAUACUUGAUUGAGGACUGAUUCGAGUGGAUCCUGUUGCCAGAAAGUGCUCUUUCCUAGUCGGGAAAAAAGGCUACCAAAUGAGAAAAUGGGUACUGAAUCUAUAGAAAACAAAAACUAUCGCAUGCUUAUGACCCAGUAACUAACUCGUUAUAGGCGGAGAAGGAAGUUUAGGGUGAGUUAUUCCUAUCUAUUCCUGCCCUUAUUAAGUAAAGUAACACGUAAAGGUCCGGGCUCAAUUCCACCCUUUUAUCACUUCCCAAUGGUUGGCCCCACUCCUCAGCUAAUCAAUGUCCCCUUCGAUUUUAUGGAAGAAAGGCUUGAAGCACCUUGAUGACGUGGAUGCUUCAUUCAGUAGUGUUGAUCUAUUUGGUUUAUCGAUUCUCUUUUGCUUAUCCGGAGGAAUCUUUACAUCAGAGAAGAGAUGUGGUGAUGCAACUCCAUACUGGGACUGGCUAACGCCUCUUACGGAUUAUCUACUGGCCUAUGGCACCCAAUAAUCUAAUGAGUUGAGCAAUGCAUUAUUUGCUUAUGGUCCUCCCUCCUGUUCAUGGCUCGGGUAGCAUUCCAAGGCUUUGGCAUAUUGCCAACAAGAACCUGUCCUAUAUACUGCUAAAUGAAAGGAAUUCCGCAUAUUAGCCCUAAGGAAUCGGUAGGUUAUAUAUAUAUAUAUUUGAAUAGCACUUAUCCUCUCCAUUUAGUAAUUGAGUUCUUUUUUCCUCUCCAUUCAUUUAGUAAUUGAGUUCUUUCCCUUUCCGUCGAGUGGUAAAGUCACACUCAUUCCCUCCCCGAAUCCAUCAGACAGAACCAAGCCAAAAGAUGAGAGAGAAGGGGGCUUUAGACCACUAUCCAUCUUAGAUCCUCCAUACAUGAAGCCUACCGUUGAUUUGCUUUCAUCCACCCUAAUCCGCAUCGCUAUAUCUUUAUAUUCUAGUAGAAUACUUUCUAUUCCAUUUCCAUACACCAGAUCAAGAUCAAUGCGCGAGAGACUUCAUUAUCCUUUGAGCGAUGCAUUCCAAUGCUCCAAACCGAGUAAAGUCACACUUACGGCAUAAGCGAUGUCCGGGCGAGUGCACGUCAUUGCAUACAUUAUUCAACCACAAAGGCAUCAGGGAAUUCCCCUACUCUUAUCUUUAUAUUCUGCAUCUUUUGGACACAUCUUUGAAGAGAGCCACAAGGAGAAAAAGGACUCAAAACCGCUUUAUGAUCAUACGCAUCAUGGUGAUUUAGAAGAGAAUCAAUAUCUCAGAUUGGAUGGAGAGCUUUAUGGUUUUCUUUCUUUUAUCUAUCCCCAAGAAUAAGGAUUCCUAGAAUAACAUGGGCUUCGAACCAUCUCCCCUUCUUUAGGAAAGAAAGAAAGUGCCUUCACCGCUCCGUGGACUCCUCAAUUUGUUUCCUUAUAAGAAAAUAGUCAAUGAGGGAAAAGACCUCAUGUCAAUAAAAAAGAAUCUAUGUUGGUUUUGGAUUUUCUAAGAAAGAUUUGAUAUAUGUCCAAUUUCUAGUGGUGGUGGGACCAACCAAGAUGUAUGUCGUCCGACCCGACCUCAGACUAUUUCUUCCUUCCACACCUAUUUGACUCUCUGGCCUUAUUCAGGUGGUAUCCCGAGAUUGAAGAGAUCGAAUUCCUCCCGGGAACACACAAAACAAAGAUAUGGAACUAGAGAAAUCGAAAUGGAAAAGAGAUGUUUCCAAUUCAUCCAAAUAAUAAGCUUUUUAUACAUCCAUAUGAUCCACUAAAGUUGAUCCCUAUUGCCCAAGAGAAUUCAAGCUGAUCUUGGUCCAUUGAGUCGAGUCCCAAGAAGAGAAGAACGAAAACCUGUCCGAUGCUUUUUAGGCCAAACCAAAUACUAUAUCCAAGUGGGACCUGCACUAUGAGAUCAAAGUCGGACCUGCACUAUGAGCAAGCUGUGCGAAAAACCGCUUCUUUUAUCCGGUUCCGCAACAACUUGGGCUAAUUCCAAUAUGGACUCCAACGAGAAAGAAGACCUAAAGUUCAUCACCACUACCGGGAAACCAUUGAUUUGAGAGUUUUCGCCAUUGGUUACUGGUCGAGCCACUGGAAUGGAAUGAGAUAAGAAUAUAUGGAGAUCCUUCCUCCCCACUUACUCGUAAAAGGCUUUCCCUCUGUAUAAGACUUGUUCCGAAUGGCAUAAUUGUCGUACACUUCUAGCCUCGAUCCUCAAAUAAGCCCUACUUGACUUUCAUGAAAGCUCCUACUACUCCGAACUUGAUCGAUAGUCCCAAUUAGCAUUAGUGCCAAUUAGCUGCCUUUUUGAAGGCGGUCAUGUGUGAUCGAGGAUGAAACGGUAGGCUUUAGUUCUAGCUCUACAUUAGGAGCACGGGGCUACAUCUAUCUAAAGAAGAUACAAGGACCCCCGAUACCGAUGCAGAACCGACGGGGCUCUGGCAAUCUCCGUACGAAUAAACUUGGUGCAAAGGUAGACACUCCCUUACCCCUUGGUGCAAAGGUAGAGACACUCCCUUACCCCGGCUUGAUUACUAAUAAUAGCAUGCAGGCUUUACUAGCUGACGAAUAAUAGCAUGAAGGCUUUAGGCGAAGAUCAUGGGGAGUCGAAGCCCUUAGGUUAGGACGUAAGCCAGCCGGAAACCGACUCAUCCACUUUGGAGUUUGGCAUUCAUGUGUCACAACUGUAUGGGCGGACUGAGAGAUCAAAGAUUAUAUGUAAACGGCUGUAAGCACUUGGUGACUGACUGCAUACGUCAAAAAAGAUCGAAGGAGCAUCUGAACAGCGUCACUGUUUUUCUUUGAUGCGCUUACGUUAGGUUUGGGCUCUUUCUUUCUUCUUUGAAGCUGUUGUUUGCUAGCAGGGGUAUGCUAAAAGUGUUUGAAGCUGUAGUUUGCUAGCAGGGUAUGCUCUUUCUUUGUAGUAUCAUUGUUGUUUGCUAGCAGGGCGCUGGUUUCUCUUCUGUUUUUCCGCUUCUGUUUGCUGGCUCUUACUUACAAGCUCAGCACUCUUACUUACAAGCUCAGCAUCCGAUUCCGUUUGCUCUGGAUGAACUUCUUAUAACGAACCUCGCUUUACUUUUGGAUCUAUUUGCUUAAGCUGCGUAAACUCCGAUCAGUUUCUGUUAAUAAAGCUGGCUAGAUCGUUCGCUCACUAAGCCAAGGGACUCACAACCAUUGCAAGCAACUUCUUCAGUCGAUAGGCAUAAGGAAGACCAGAAUGAAUACUACUUUUCCCAAUAGCCCGCUGAAAACAUCUACGAAGAAAGGACUUGGCCCUAGCAUCAAUACCACUAGCAUCGGACUUAGCAGGCACUGUUCCAUUCUUACCAGCAGUGAUUGAAGUCUUAGUUUCACUAGUAGCUUGGCCCUUGGUGGAAUUGUUAUAACGGGGGAACUAUAGUGGCUCUGCCGCUUGGAACUCGCUACCGCAGAUGUUUUCGGGAGUCUGAGCUAAAACGGUAGUGAGUUUUGACUACCUCGUUUAAGUCUUGUUAGGCAGUGUUUCCUUCUUGUUGGUGCACUGUUCAAUUCUGACUUUGUGAGUGGCUUGGCCUUGGACUCCUUAGCUUGACUCUUAGGCUCCCGACCUUCUAACUCCUAUGUUCACCUCAGAUUCUUCUACUAAUUCUGAGAAGUCUUUAGCGAGAGUGUGAGCCUGCUAAUCCUUGCCCUUAAGUCUGAGUUUCCUUAGUUGGAUUCUUGUACAACUUAGUUUCUAUUGAUAGGUGAAGUCGUUAGCAGCGGAGCCCCGCAUCCUUAUUUCCUUGCCAUAAAGUCUUAGACGAUUUGCCUUGCCAUAAAGUCUUAGACGAUGAGCUCACAGACUAGGAGUAUGAAGUGGGCGUAGUAAUAAAUUAGAAACAUAGGUAUAAUCCAACUCAAAACAAACCUGUAUCAGACUUCAAGUAAUAAGUAACAGAACGAGAAGCAUCGCACCAAGAGACAAAGGACCAGUUCAAACAAAGAACUCAACCUAGUAAUAUAAGCGAGAAUCCCUUUCCCGAACUCUCCUCAGGCAACUCAUCAUUACCCGGGCCAACCCUUGACUCUUUUCCUCUGGACUAGAGCAGCUCAUCUAACGAAAUUCUUAAUGAAAGCUGGCUGUUAUUAGAAAGAUGGAUCUCCUUCCUUCCAUCAGGCUAAUUAAUAAUAGAAAGAGGUUCCUGAAUAGACGUAAACAACAUUGCUUACUAGAAUCUUUGGAGCGAUAGCCGGAACUAGAGCAAAUUACUGGUAUUCGAAAGCGAAACCUAGGAUUCUACAUAGCCUUUAAGUUCACAAAGGAAGAAAUAAGGGAUUGCCCGGAUCUCGUAUUCCAUCUGCCAUAGACGCUUUCUUUCUUUUAACUAAGCAACCAAGCCGGGGAGUGAGGAAAGCGGAAGUGGGAAUAAACAGCAAGCAAGCCGGGGAGUGAGGAAAGCGGAAGUGGGAAUAAACCAGUAGCAAUCAAAAGGGUACCAAGCAUUACUGACAUUCCUAUUAUUAAAGGAAUCGGUGAGUGAAGGCAAGAUAAAGGAAUCGGUGAGUGAAGGCAAGAUCGGAUCUUUCAAGCGUUACGUGUUAAAGUCUUAGAAUAGAAUGACUUAUAAAAGAGCUCUUAGUGCACCCGGAAGAUGGAAUUGAUUAAGUCUUAGUAGCGGUCUCAUUCCUUUCAUUGUGGGGAAAAUGACCAUAAGUUGCUGUGUGUGUGUGGUACCCUAGUUGUUCAUGCGAUUGAGGAAGCUUUAUACUAGGUCUCUUAACCCCUUGGCAUUCUUCCGAUCGUACUCAAUUACUUAUGAAUUCUCAAUGGAGGCUAGCCCUUUUUGCUCAGAGACAGCUUACUACUUUACUUACUUUGGCACAGCUUCCUGCAGUGAACGAACUUCAUUUGUUAUAGCGCUAUAGAAUAAUAUCGUAAAACACACACUCUCCAGGCCAGGACAACCUCUUAGCCCUUAUUUUGUUGCGGCUUACGUGAGUUUUGAUCUUUCAUCAUGAAAUAAAGCCCCUAGACUCAUUAAUGAAUGCCUUUUCUUCUUGGUCUCUAUCACUUGUUUGCUUAAAGUUAGAGUGGUCUAGCUGUUUCCAAUAAUAUCUUGGGGGUUUAGAUGUUUCCAAUAAUAUGAAGAAUAGCAUAUGCGGGGCGUUAUCUUGGUAAUAAUAGCAUAUGCGGGGCGUUAUCUUGGAAUUCUCAUAUACCUUUCUAGACCCAACAAAGAGUAUUUUGCUUUAGGCGAGACUUCCGUUAUGCUUUGCUCUUGCUGAAAUACAUGACCCUGCACCCAUUUAUAGAUGCUGAUGUAAUUACAUCUGAGGAACCACAGCAUUUGUUGCAUCAAGAUUCCUGUCGUGUAACCUGCGCAGCCCUCCUUCAUUCUUUAGGCCGCUUACUUAUUAGAUGGCCUUAUUAGAUGGCCCUGCGCUUACUUAUUAGAUGGCCCUGCAAAUGUAAUGGAUCUUUUGACUUGCCUCCAAUUCAUCAACAAAACAACUGAAACCACACCUCUGGAAUAAUUGACCUAGGGAGGUGGAAAGCCGAAGCCCAAUGGGUCUGUAUAGAGAACACACUUGACCAUACCAGCUCAAGCCUCCCGUCGAAAGACAUAGCAAGUACUAUAUUCCUUCCCCAACUAAGAAGUAUUGAUCUUACUUUAGCAACCGCAUCAAAUUUAUGAAAGUGUUUGUGAAGGUGAGUCCGAGGUGGUAGGCUGCCUUCUUCGAUACCAAGUCUCUGACGGAUGGAGGCUUUACAAGUGCGCAGCCCGGUGAAAGUCAAGCUUACUCUUUUUUGUAUUGGCUGAUAGAGAGGCCAGAUAGAGCUUCGAACUGCUUCCAAACGGAUCCACACCACAGGACUGAAGAUAACCAACCCUUUAUAUAUAGAAUACCAGGAGUUCGUCAUCUAAAAUGCAAUUGGAAAUAUGGAUACUGAGACCAUAUUGAAUACUGCGGAAUACCACCCUGAUCAUCUUGAUUUUAAGAACCAUAAAUGCCAUAAUAUAAUAAUAGCGAUAUAUAGGGAAUAGCGAUAUAUAGGGCCAGGGGCUGGUGGGAUGGAUCAGAUCUCCCUGUCGCAGCCUUCUUUUAGAUUGGAAGAAUCCGACGGGAAACACCCGUUGACAAGGAUGGAAACCAUGGGGUCACCGAUGCAGGCCUUAAUCCACAAGAUCCUGGUUUCCAAAAGACACAUUUCUUGGUGUGAAAGAGAAAUUGCCGGUUCGAGACGCUGUCGUAGGCUUGGAAAAAUAGAGACUCGCCAGACAGAGGAAAGAUUAGAGUUCCCCGCUACGCUAAAAUCAUGUUGGCAGUGGUCCUGAAUGAUAAUGAUAAUGAGAAAACACUGAUUGGCUUCCGGAGAUAAUAGAAGGGAUUACACACCAGCAAGCGCAUAGUUAGGAUUGAGGAUAGAGAAAUUUCUAUUGUUAGUCAAGUUCAAAAGAGAAAGCCGUAGAAAAUGUGCCAAUGUUACUCAAGGAAGCCAGCCAUAUAACAGUAUUAGAUUCCUUUAAAGCAGUCUUGCUUGGGGAUUGAUUGAUUGGGAGUCAGAAUAGUAUGAUUAGCCUCCCACUUAAUAAGUCUUACUGAUCGAAAUACGUUUCUCCUGGCGGGACCACACACUGAAUCACAUCCUAAGACGUCUGGAAGAAGGCAGCGGGGAAUCUAUCUGGCCCGGGGGAUCCUCUUAAUUGGCCUAAGCUUCUUUAACUCGUAGCCUCAUCUGAAUUUCUCGAACUAGUGAGUCAAGAGCUAGCCGGAAGUCAGUCUUUUAUUGAAGUGAAGAAAAAAGAAAGGAAAGAAGGAAGAAUGGGUCUACUCGGAGAAGAAAGACAGAUAUACCGCACUACAAUUCAAGCGUAGACGUGUUAUACGCAGACAACAUACUUCUUUAAGCCUAAAUCAAAACGGAAAGAGAUUUCUCGUGGUCCCUCCCAACAAUACGUUUGCUCUGAGGUUGCGAAGCUCACUCUUGAUUUUAGGAAUGGACUUCUGAGGGACGGGCUUCAAUGGACCUUACUCGGAGAAACCUGUCCCCAGCUCUUCGGCCAGCACACCUACACACCCACCACCCUUAUGCCUAUGCAUGUCAUCUUUCUCUCGCUAGCGGGUCUUAAUCAAAUUAGUAUUACUCCCAUAAUGAAGUAGGAAUCUUAGUAUACUAUCAAUGGGAGGAAUCUUUCGGGGUGUGCCUCUGACGAUUGUUACGAAAGGAAGCCGAGCCGAGAGGAACCUGGCGAUUAUUUGAAAGAGUCCAAUCCGCUUCAAAAGCCCAUAGUGUUGUUGAAAUAGCUGUAUCAGUAGUUGUAGUUGUCUCAAUAGACCCCUUUGGAGCAAGCAAUAUGAACCUAAUCUCAUUAUAGGAUGAGAGGUCAAGGUCAAGGGCGGAUGAGAGGUCAAGGUCAAGGGCGGAGAGCUUCUCUAGGGUUGAUACCUUAUUGGGGUAGGCGCUUUCUAUGAAAUGUAGUUUUCCUUCUUUCUCUCUUAUGUUGGGCUUUCUAUGAGAUAUUCUCUAGGGUUUGACUCAUACCUUAUUGUUGGGCUUUCUAUAUAGUUUCUCUAGGUUUUUGUUCUCUCUUAUGUUGGGCUUUCUAUAGAGCUUAUCUAGGCGAGCCUCCAUCUGUUAUGCUUGUGAUCUAGUAUGAAGGUGAGCUUCUCCAGUUCCAAGCCAUACUAUAGGUAAAGAGAAGGGCUCAGGAAAGCAAGCAUACUAUAUAUGAUAUGGGAUAUGGGUAAGGAGAAGGGCUAAGUAAAGCAAGUAAUAAGAAAAGCUUGAUUCUAUUAUGCCCUUAAGCGCAAGCCAGUAAGAGGGCAAAGCAAAUACCCGUAUCAAAUGAGUUUCAGUGUGGGACCGUAGCAUUGGAAAGCGAAACCUCUGGAGUGAGUUUCCGUCUCUGCCAGUAUUUCAUUUGACUAUAAAGAAAGAGUAGUUGCACAGCCAAUUGGAGUCCGUCCUAAGUUCCGUAUUUCUCUAGUGCUUAUGUCUUUGAGUCAGUUGAAGGGCUAAGUGCUCUUUUUAGGAAGUGCUGAUCGCAUUCUUUUUGAGUGCCUGUUUGGAUCUCCUGUGUAAACCCUAAGUCCUGCUGCCCUUGAGUCUGCCUUUCCAAAUAUAGCAUAAAGGGGUGAUUCUUUCUAGUUUUGACUUCCGCUCCAUCCCGACCCCGACUAGUUCCAAUUGUUGCAGUGAUCACUUUCGCCAUUUGGAUGGAUUCCGUUCCUUUUGUUGGUGAUCCAUACGAAUCAAUAUGUAGGGGACGAAUCAAUAUGUAUGGGCGGAGGAUUUCCAUACUUGAAUAUAGAGUUCCCAGCCAGUGAUUUGCAUUUCUAUUAAGGUACAUAAUCGAAAGUGUGAGUUCCCGUUCCAGUUUGUCGUGCCAUGCAAGCUUCCUUAUCGUUGGCUUUACUUGGCGUUGGAUUUCUAGAGUCCGCCCCCUGGGGAUAUUUCUUUUUCUUCUCUCUAAUCGGGAGAAAUCGGGGGUCCCAAGCCACACAGAAGUCUUGCCAGAAUUGUAGUAACUCGUAUUAACUCCUAUUGUUUAGUAGCUUCUGGAAAAGGAAAUAAGGAAUUUACAGUUGAUCGAGCGCAGAAGAUGGCUUUAAGAGCAUCGGCAUACUAAUGAAGGUUAGCACAAGUAAAUAAGUCUAACGCACUACCAUCUGUUACUUUAAAGAAAGAAUCGAUCCCGCCGAUUCCUUGUAAAACUCAUGCUUUCAAUGCCCAUGUCCAAUUGUUAGUCUUACAAUACUGGCUUUUACCCUAGCACUCGUGCCUUCAACCACUAGCUCUCAAGCUAACACUGCCUCUUUUCAAUCUUGAGUUCGAGAUCUGGGCUUACCCUACUUUUUCGAAUUCUUCAAGUAAAUACUUUCCGGCUAUAACCACUUAUCCGGGUCCCCUAUUUCACCUGUUUGUUAGUAUACCUUUCCUAGUUAUCAAACUGACACCACUGCUUCUAAUACUGUCGCUACUGCCUAUGUGCCUAUGAGCAUGUAAUUACUUGUGUUCAACCUAAACGACUUCCCCUCCGAGACUGGCUUCCCUAACGACUAUUCUGACUACUUGGAGACUGGCUUCCCUAACGACUAUUCUGACUACCAUGUCGAUAAGUCUGUCCUAGUUUACUUCCAUUCCCCCCUCGAGUCUUAUUUGAUAGUUUGAGUAUCCGACACUGCCUUGUCUCGGUCUGCUACUACUCAAUCUCAUUCUUACUGUCCUUGUCUUCAAUCUAUAACUUAUGUCUUCAAUACUUUAUCCUCUAAGUCAGGAAUAGAACCUGGGCACACGAAAUUAGCACCCUUUCUGGCUUCUUUGUUUGAGCCUGGGCACACGAAACUAGCACCCUUUCUGGCUUCUUUGUUUGAGCCUGUCCCCACGGGGAAACCUAGAAGGAAUGGAAAUAAUUGACCUAACACACCCUAGUAUGGCAUACAAUAAACCACACGCAAGACGCAACCACAUCUAGAGCGGCACUCGGUCAGUCUUUUAACGGUAGUCAUUCACUCCCACUCAGUAAUUCUUUUCUCAUAUAAUAUUCAAGUCAUUCUUUUAUCGACCAUCAUAUAAUAUUCAAGUCAUUCUUUUAUCGACCAUGUAACCCACUCAUUCUUGGGGCUGACCUUGAUUGAUUGAAACCAAACCCGCGUACGUAGGGCACACAACAACUAUAGAUUGAAACCAUAGUAUGGCAUGGCACCAAUAAAGAUUGAACUCGACAAUCAACGUGCGGACAACCUCUUACCACCUAUCCUAAUGGUCCCCGUCCCCGGGCACUCGGUCUGUGAGCUACCAUUAAUUCCGUAAGUCUUCGGUCGGCAUCGCACCUAAGUCGACUAAAAAAGAACUUCCUAAGAAUUCUGAAUGGGGAUAUUAAUAAUGAAUAAGGCAUUGAACAGUAGUCAAAGAAAGGAAAGAAAUACUCGUAUAAGGGAAAGGCUGCCUUUGUCAGUAGUAGAUGCAUUCUUUAUGUCAUUGAUUUCUUUCUUUAUUCAAAGAGAAAGUAUUAGAAGCCAGAAGUUGAUUCUUUUUGGUAGCCAUAUCUGUUUAGGGGAGAGUCCUGACAGGCUUAGAAGCACUAGUAAGAGAAUGAGAUGAAGCAGUAGGAGUCCAAAGUGAAGAAAUCAGAAUGAAUGAAAAUCAGUAACUACAAUCAAGAUCAGCAGUACGAGAAUCCAAGAAGGGAGUGUUAGGUUUAAACCAAGGAGAUAGGUAAUGUAGCUAACAAGCGUAGGGCUGAGAGAGCGGGUAGCAAGACUUUCACUCGACACCCCUUAUUCUUAGUACGGAGCUCCUUGCUUUUAGGCCUAGACAACGAACCAGAAGACGCAGGUUACCUUGGUAUAGUCAGAAUAAUAGUUCUAAAUACAAACAAGAAGAAGUACGGACCAGCGGAACCAAACUCGGUAGCAUCGAAGGGUAUGAUCCAGCCCAGCGCAUCCCCAGUAUAGAGAGGGAAUCCAGCUCAUAAGUAAUCGAACGAAACUCGAACCCGGCUCUGCCUUAUCUCAACCUUACCUUCCCGACCAUUGGUCUUACUCUACAGCAUCUCUGGCUUUACCUUACUCCGUUUGAGUCUCGCUUACCCAAACAAACUCUCCUUUGAUUUGAUUUGAGACACUACCCCCUAAAGAUGGAACCCGUGUAGGCUAUACCAAUCAGUAAUAGGCUAAUAGGGGCAUAAGGAUGAGAAACACUACUCCGAUGGAUUGCACCCAAGAACCCAGGCUUCAUCAUUGGGGUAUGUUAUAGGGCUUCAACCCGAGCAUAAGGAUUAGACUAGCCAAAAGCUAUGGUGUCAGAGGCGCAAGUCACUACAAAUGUUAUUAUUUGGAUUAUUAUUAUUAUCUCAAUAUAAGUGAUGUUUUGUUUACAAGUUAUGUUUCUGCAAACUCAAAUGGCAAUAAGAAACAAAGCAUAUAGGCUAUUCAUACCAGGACCCCUAUUCUAUUGGCUCUACCUUACCUUUCAUUGCAACACAUGAGCACAAGCACCCUUCCUAGACCUUAACCCCUCAUUGCGUACACACAAGGCUAUUCCCUUACUUACUUUUAGCCUAUUUCUUCUUCAAUUCCCUUAGCAUAGGCUCGCAUUGUAACAUGUAUUGUCACAUUUCUCAUAUAAUAAUCACAGGCAAGCUGCAUGGACUCAAUUGUUUUCCUACUUAUGUGCUUACGAGAGUUUGGGCAAGUUCAAUUACUUGAGUUUCAAUUGCAGAAUUCUUAGUUUACUUGGCGCUCUCUAAAACAGUAGCUAAAGUUGGGGUAGUGCGUCAAUAGUUUCUAGUUCCAGUGAAGGAUCAGAAUACGGUAAAGUUGAGUCUACCAGAUGGAAUCGGGAGGCAGGAUUUGGAUCUCAACGCUGAUGCGUUUCUUGUUUCAGUUGCAAGUGGUGGUACAAGUGUUGUUCGAGCAUUGGUGGCGAGGUAAGUUAUGGGCUUGACCCUUUUUGCUUGUGUAUAAGUCUUCAAGUGGGGUUUAGGGGCGCUUAUGCUUAUGGGAGUUGCGGGGUACUAAAGGAAAGGAAGGCGGAGCUACCCAUAACGAGAAGUUUGGAAUGGGAGGAUGGCGGUGCGUGCAAGAGCAAGCGCUGUGAGAUUAGAGUCAGUAGCGGAGUUAUAGGCAUUAGGCGAUUGGGUCAAUUCUAUGACAGUACUGGUGUUGGCGAAAGUCACGUUCGAGCUUUGUAUCAGGUACUCUGCCUUUGAAGCGAGGUGAAGUGGAUAAUUGCCUAAUGACAUUAUUUGAAUGUUUGAGUAGAAUCAGUCUUUGUACCGAGAUCAUCUGCUAUAUUAAGAGAAGAAGCUAGUAAAGAAUGAGUUGAAAAAGAUAUGAAGCUGUGUUAUUACCGGAAGUUUGAGAUUUUGGGUGCAAGAGCUCCUCAAUGGAAAUGGAAAUAGUACUUUGGAGUUUAAGGUUAGGGAAGAAUAAAGUGCAGAAGCAAGUGAGCGAGAAAGAAAGAAAGAAAACAUCAUUAUAUAGAAGGUCUGGUGCCACCCGCUGCUAAGUACUUUAUACGAGUUCCUGUUCUUUUUGACUCUUAGCCCUAAGUCUAGAUGAAAUAGGUUUUAUACAACUUUUCAUCUGGCGUGAAGGGGCCUCAAUAAGGACUUUCCACUCGGAUGCUAAAGAUGGGAAAGCGAGAAUGAAAGCAAGGAUUAGAUAAAGGCCUAGAAGCAGGAAAGUCAAACUCUAAAGUCAGGAUCAAAGCCAGGAUGGGUAGACUUUAACAGGAGGAGGGGCAGCCUUACCAGGUAGUAGUGGAUUCUCAUAUUCCCCAGUACAAUUCCUUCUUUGAUGAGUUCGAGCCUUGCUACCGGCAGUUUGCUUCCUUACUAUAAGUUCAAGUUCUUUCUGUAGUGGUUCCAUUCUCUUGCUUUUGGAUUGGGAUCCUAUUACCGUUUUGUGCUGAUUAUUAUGACUACUAUUCUAUAUGCCUAUAACAAAGGAGUCAAAGAAGCAGAUAAAGCAAUAUUACUACUAUUCUAUAUGCCUAUAACAAAGGUACUACUAUUCUAUAUGCCUAUAACAAAGGAGUCAACCAAUACAUCGGCACAAACACACCUAACCUAGAGCUACCAUGAAACCACUAAUUAUUUCAAGUAAAACCAACUAUUCUGUGCUAUCGGGUCGAGGGGUCGGUCAACAAGAAAUGUUUGUUAGGGAACUUAGCCUCCCAGUAACGUAGCUCAGUCUGAAAGUAACAGAAAUCAAUAUCAGAUAUUAACAUAAGUCAGUCUGUGUCUAGUUGGCAUGGUCGGCGAACUAAUUCUUUUGUCUAGUCGAGGGGUGGACAUGGACCUUCUAAGCAUGGUCGAGGUACGUACCUUCGCUGAAUGAGAGAGAGCUACGUCGCCCGCUGUUUCAACCAAUGCAUGAAUGACUGCCCGAUCAAAGAAUAAGUGAUGUUGCCGAGCUUUCUUGUUGUUGCUCACGCCUUCUAAGCAUGGUCGCGAGGUACCUUCAGUGAAUGAAUUGCCCUACUAUUUACUAUGAAUGAGUGGGUGUAUCGGCGCUAUAAGACAGAGUGCAUUUUCGAUCCUGUUCGUUCAUAUGGUCUUUGACCGCUUCAAAGCCUUAAGAUACGCUUUUCCUUCAAGGAGAUGUGCCCCAUGCUAGUAAUUGAACCUUUUCUUUGGUUUCCACUUUAUCCUCUAGGGCAAGCUUACUACAUGAAUAGUUUGGUAACAGAUUAUGGGAUCCGAUCGAAAACACAAUUGUCAGAAAAGCCGAAAUGUAGUCUUUCUUGAAGACCGAUGUCACUUGUUUACUUGGGUCCAGUGCUCCCUACCACGGUGAAUGAUCGCUCACUAUUCGAUCUCGCUGGUUUGUUAUUGCCCGAGCAUUGUUAAUCACUGAAACCUUGUGGUGGAUGGCUAGAGUGGUGCAAUGGUUGUUAGGAUACAACUUCUCUAAAACAUAUUCUACAGGAUUCUCAUAAGUCACUUUCACCGGUCUUACAUUGCCCAAGAAGUAUUUGAUCGCUUCAGGUAAAUGGGUGUGCUGAGACCAGUAAAACAAGAACCAUCUUCUGCUGUCAUUGAAGAGAUUGUCGAUCAGUAAACAUGGUGACGAUCGCCGGACCAACCUCGGUGAUCUACAAGGGGGCCGGAUCUAGAAUCCCAGUAAGUAAGCGUGCCGUUGUAAUCGGCCAAUAGGCUACUUAAAUACUUCGCGGAUGCUCUAUGACAAAGCGAAGACAAGCGGAACUAUAAUACAUACCACGCACAAUCAUAAGAAGCUUGCUUGCUCCAAAUCACCUAACAAUGCUCUAUACUUAAGAAAGGAAUAUGCACCAACUACUUAUGUAAGAGAUUAACAUAACACUGUUGACUCUAUUAAAGCAAAGAAUAUACAUCGACUACUUAUGUAAGAGAUUAAGCGCUAACACUGACUUCCGGAGUGCCUCAAUCUAUUCUAUUUGCAGGAGCAGGAAGAAUAGGUGUUUUGUGAUGAAGUUAACUGACCUAGCAGGAAGAAUAGGUGUUUUGUGAUGAAGUUAACUGACCUAUAUAUAAGGUUUAAGGUGCAGUCAAUUCCAUGAAACAAGCAACAGCACAAGAGUAAGGCGGUACAAGAAAGGUAGUAAUUGUAAUAACUUCGUAAUGAAACUAGAAGAUCAGAAGCCGUUUAGUCGCCAGCUGCAAGCGAUUCUAGAGUUCCAGAAGGAGUUCGGGUCGUGGAAUAAUAUCUUACAGGGGAAGAAGUAAUAACGAGUUAUAAAGAGCUUAGAUGGGCACCCCGAGACUCACCUUAAGAACGAAUAGGCGCUGCGCACCCCUAACCUAAGGGGGACUAGGUCAUAACUCUACGGAGGACGAAAACAGGAACUCAACUACCGCUAGAAGCAAUGGAAUCAGAAAGCUAAAGCGAAAGAAAAAGUACUUUAUGAUUACCUAACCUCGACAUUAAGUUUGGAACCGCUACUCUGGUGGGCAUUAAUUCGCUAACUUCACUCCUGCCGCCAUGACGAAAAAGGACUUGGCGAGUGGAAUCGGGUGCUUGGCUUUACCUUUACCUUAGUUGUCGUAGAGUUCCUGUAGCUCUUUCCCUUGUCUUGUGCGCUGGGCAGUCAAGGUCAGUCCGUUUCUUUCGCCCUAGCAUUAGUGAGUUCUGAGUUGUGCUAACACUUAUUGGAGUUUCGAGUGUUUUGUUCCUCUAUUCUAUUCUCAUAGAGUAACAUGCCAUUCUUCAGACAGUAGCUGACAAGCGCCCAGCCAAAUUGAGUAGACUAAACUUGCACCCGAACUCUAGUCAAAGGUCAAGCCAAUACUCAUUUCCUGGCACUGCUGAUUCUAUUGAAACUGCUUCAGGAAAAUACUCCAUUCCUGGCACUGCUGAUUCUAUUGAAACUGCAAGAGGAAUUGGAUUUGCUUCCUCUUCUUCUAGAGUAGACAACACUGGAACUAGAAAACCAGUCAGAAGGUAAGGACUUAGCGUAGCGCGUGACAGACAAUCAGGCAAAGAAACUACACUUUAUGAUUCUGAACCGACCUAAACAAGAACUGAAAGAGACUCGUCAACAACACCAGGAUAUAACACUGCUUCCCCUCUCGAUGUUGCGGAUUCUCUUUCUGACCUUGCCCACCUCUUUUCCUUGGUUAAAGAUUAGACCUUGACUGCCCCCAGUACCUGGUUCUUUCUAUUCUGAGUAUAGUACCUGUUUGUUCUAACUGAGUCUGACUUUCAAAUGUUCUAUCGUUAGGGGAGCCUCUUGUUUCGGCAUCUAUCGGAUCUUGAAACUACUUCUUAUCCUGCGCCACCAGCACCUUACUUUAUCACUGGACCUCGAACUCAAGGAGACUUCGGGACAGAAGCGCUUUAUGGUUCCCUUGUGCUAACGUUUUAUGAGUUCCUGUUUUCAUCAGCUAGCGUAGGUGUUCAAAGAGCUUGACUUUAAGGCUUUGGGUAUACGGGAUUUCAAGUUCACUCGACUCUGACUAAUGAGGGUAGGGGUGGACGAAGUGAAGUUUAGUUUACGAAGGCUUGAAGCACCUUUCUUUCUCUGCUUAACGAAGGGACUGACCCUAAUGAGACUUUCUCCUUACGAGCGAAGGCUACUUAAAUGGAUUCAUAACCCAGAGCAGAACUUUGAAUGCUAGUACAAUGGUUAUCCCAGCAAUGACUAUAGUACGAAGCAGCCCUGUAAGCGGAUCCUCGAGUUCAUUUCAAUUGCAAGGAAGAAAACGAAGUCCUGGACUACUCGUAUACUUGUUGGGGCAUUGAACAGUACUGUAGUUGCUUGGCUCUUUGUUGAGUUGAGAGCCUACUCCUGUUCUGGUGAUUGUUGAAGACCGAGUUGCCAAAGAAGAUAGCUUGGGAGUUUACAGAGUUAGAUGAUAAGAGACAGAGGAGAGGCGGGUUCUGGUGUUGUGUUGGCGAUGAGUAAAAGAACUCGUAUACAUGUUAGCCCUAAGCAUCCCGAGUGGAAUCCUAUUAUAAUGCAAUUGAAAGCAGCUUUGGAAUACCGGCCAAUACACUACUAAUGUGUAGCGGCAGUCCCUUUAAUGCUUUCCUAUAUUUACCACCGACAAGCCUACCAGUUUGAGUAUUCUGCUUGCUUCUUGCAUUCCUAUUUAAAAGAACUACUUCUAAGUCGUUCUCCCGGACCAUAGGCUUCUACCAAUCUGUUAGAUUCUGCCCUACCUUAGCGAGAGUCCCUAACGAGUCAUACUUUGAUUGGAGUUUAUGGGACUAAUAGGAGUAAAGGGUUGGGUACACGAUCUAUCGCAUCUCGUACUAGACGAAUAGUUUGAUUGGUCAGAAUGAAGAAGCCAAACACUAGAUAAGGAACACGGGAAUGCCAUUGGAGAUGUAGAGCUUGGGAGAGCGGAGACACCCGGAAAGUACUCGAAAACUGAUGGGUAUCAGCACUAAAACAAUAGUAAGGGAGGAGUGGGUACCGAGAAGUGCGUGGAGAGAAGUUCACUCUAAAGUCAGGAUACCAGGCAAAGCAGACUAAUAAGAAUAUAGUGCGCCCUGCGUAAUAAGAAUUGAGGUUUAAGUGCUUAAGUCAUAUAAUUCCACUAUCAAGUCAGGACUACAGGAAUUAGUCCAUUAGUUAAAGCAUGUAAGUAAGAAAAGGUAGGCUCAUAUCGAGGGUGGGAAUGCAGAGUUCCCAACACAGUUUAAAGAAUCCAAAAUGGUAGAACGCCCACCCGGUUGAGGUUGAAAGUAGGGGCAGUAAGUCUGCUCACCAGUAGCCCUAUUAUAAGAAGUUCCAGUUCGAUUCCCUUUCUUGUGUGUAUUACUUGUUUUGAGUUGAGCUCUUCUCGGUAUGAGCUCAAUUCUUGGCAUCAGGAGCCGAAUUCCCAUUAUUCCGAGGUUGCAUUCCGACUUUCCUUAUUGUUUCGGUGUAUUAUAUGGAGUUAAGCCUGCUAACGAUUCAAAAGAUGUAAGUUCCAAAUUCUUAGCUCGACUACCGCGCAACAUUAGUAGUUGCUUGGUCACUUCUUUUUCAUUUAAUGGGAAAUCCAAGUAGUCAGUAUCAGAUUUGCACUAGUAAUAAUCAGAAUGGAAUUAAGGCGGAGCAAUAUGGGCAAGCCAACAAGCCGGGUAGGAUUUCAUUCACAGAAGUCAGAGUAGAAAUAAGAAGCAGAAGAUCCAAGUAGAAAACUCAGAAUCCAAUUCCCUAUAAGGAAUGACAGAAUGGGUUCUAAGCCGAACCCGGAUAGUGAUUGAACUACUCCCAUAAGAAUGCAAUUACCACUAUGAGAAUGACACUCAAAAACAGCAACUUCUUUUCUCCUUUUGUAUCAAACUAACUAUCCUGUCUUGGAGGCUUACCCAACCUAUUACUUUCUGGGGAUUCUACCCCACACGCCUACGUUGUAGUCUAUCUUUUAUUGGGUUUCUCUUUUAGUUGCCCCUUAUCAACUCCUUACUUUGACUCUGGAACUCCCGAUAUCCAAUCUGUAUUUGCCCCUUAUGGUCCUUACUUCAAUGUCUAUGCUCUAGGUUUUGUUAUUAGAGGGGUGUGUGUUUCGCUCCUGCCUUCAAUGCCUUUGACUCUCACUUUCCUUUCUUUAAGGUUGAGAUACUGGGCUAGAAGACUCAGAUGUGUUAGCGUAGAUGCUAAUACUAUAGGCAGUCCAAAAGACUAAUAGAGGAAUAAGGAGUUAUGAGCAAUUCCUUAGAGCACACUAAUGCACUUGUAUGAGAAGCACCAAUUCCAUUCGGAUAGUUAUGAGUUCGAUUCCGUUUUCAAGAAAGAGUAGCCUAGUAAAUUAGGUAGGGGCGUACAUCUGAUAUGAGGCACCUAUUACCAAUACCAAUGCUGUACUAGUUUGUUAAUAAUGAAAUAGACAAAUAAGAGAGUCAAGGAGUGAAAGAGUGCAGUUAGCGAGUAGGGCUUGGUUUCCGUUAAGUUCAUAGGUAUACUUCAUCUAAGAAAAGAAGCUAGGGUGCAAGUAACCAGUUGAGGAGUGAAAGUAGAAGCUACGAUACAGUGCUUAGAGACAAGAAAGGAAGGUUCAUACGCAUCAUAAAGAAUCUCAAAUAUAUAGCAACUAAAGAGUGAGUUCUUAGCAAAGAUCUUAACGGUAUUGUUUCUAGUCUUAUUAUAGUGGUAUCAGCUUGCUUGGCCCUUACUGCUUUCUUUAACUAAUAUGCCUAUGAGGGGCCUGUCCUUGCUGUCUUUGAUUUCUUGGUAUUAGUAGUUGGAUGCGCCUACAUCGUACCUAUGAGUUACAUGCCCAGUUACAAAAGUGAAAGUCUCUACUUACUUGGGUACAGUGAAAGCCUUAGAGGGGGUGAAGUCCUGUUAAGCCCUAGCUCAAUUCUAACUAGCAGAGGCAUCAGGUUGAGAUGCCAUGGUAUCAGUUUGAGAGCUGGCGGAUAAGGGUUGGUGGUCAGGGUAGUCAGAACCGGAGUGAGGCAGGUCAGCUUCAGGGUCAGCAGCCAAAUACUAGUUGUAGGCCAAAGUCCUGUUAUCAGUGGUGUAAUCCCCCGUCAUUAGUAGCAGAACGAGAAACAGGAAAGUAGUACUUAGGGAAAUAGGCAGUGAGCCUGGGAGACCAGAUUAGUAGAAUCAGAGUAGGUAGUGGCUUUGUCGUUACUCGUCUCUUCUACUAGCUCUAUUGGUAUGUAGUGUGGACUAGCAUCCUUACUUCUGUAUUUGUGUCCGCCAGGCCAAGAAAGAAGGCUGUUCCGUAGGGAGUUUCAUUCUGAAUUCCGAGUGUCAUUGCUAUACUACUUAGUGCAAUGCUUAUUAGGCGCAGUUCCAUUCUUAUAGUACAGAAUUCCGUAUUUGUGUAUGCAGAAGCACAGCACAGGGAAGGGGCAUCGAAUGAAGGACGGUAGCUGAAUUCCUCUCCAGUGUGUUGAUUCUUUUGAGUAGCGAUAUCAGUCUCAUCGGCGCUAGUAAUAUUCUUAUGAGCAACAGUAUCAGCUGGGGUGGGGGUAAAGAUCCGUAUGUGUAGUUCUAGUUUGAUAUCUAAGAAAGAAAUACUUUUUGUUUGGUGGGGCUAUUGGAGAAUGCGAACCCUGAGUUUGGAGAAGGCAGUGCCAAGCUAAGAUAAAGAAGUAGGAGAUUCAAAGUGGAGUUCAGGAGCCAUAGUUAGGUCUUAUCGAGUAGCUCAAUGUAAUCGACCCUUGUUAGUAGCAGUGAAAUCUGAGAAUUGGUUGUCAAUUCCUCCUUUUGAGUGGCUUGGCUCUGUCCACUUGUCUAGUACUGAAGUGACUUGCCUGCUUGGUUAGUAGUUACUCGGUGACUGAUCGGCAGGUUAAUAAGAAUCUUCUUUCUUUGUUGGGGGGUGGAUGUAGAAUCAAAUCAAGGAGAGUGAGUUUGCUGGUAAGGGAAGUAAGACCAAAAGCCAGUAGCGGUAGAACGAGAAACUGGAGUUUGAGUUUGAUAGCUAGUGAAGGUAGGCUUAGAGCCCGGUGGAAUAAAGAUGAGUAUCCAGUAGUUGUUGAUUUAAUGUCAGUCGCAUUUGCUUGUUAGGAAUAAGAUUUGAGGUCAGUAAAGCAAGUCUGAGGUCGAGUAAUAGCACAGUUUUCAAGUAAGUAGUGGCAGGCUUAGAUAAAGUAAGUCAAGGUUUAGAUCAGUAGCCAAAGCCUUAAAAGCUGUGUUGGGAUUCCCCAGUUAUGAGUAAAAGUAUUGUUGGCACCAGUGCAAUUCCUUAUUAUAUUAGUCAAAGGAUGAGACGCACCUCGGAGAGUAUAGUCUAGGUUUAGCUACUGUUCGAGUGUGAGACGCACUGUGGUUCAAUUCUUCCUACGAGUGAUUUGAGUUUAAGGAACAGUCAAGUCAGAUUGGGAUCCAAGAGCAGCAGACGGAAAGGCAUACCUUUAUUAUUCGACUACAUAAGUUGGUUUUCUCAUAGCACUGCUCGAUUCUUGUUAUCACCAUAGGUUGAUUCUCAUCUUUGUACGUGCUAGAUCAUAGGAGAAAUAUAAGUAUAAAUAAUACCAGUAAAAGAAUCCAAGCCGGGUCUAAAGUUUCAUUGGAAGCAGGGAGUGGAGAAUUGGACCUGUUUCCCUGGCGAGUUAGAGUGGAAAUCCUUAUAUAGAGUUCUCUAUACACGUAGCGGUUAAGGCAACGAAGACAUCUAUUGUAAUAACUUCUACAUAACUGGGAACUAUAGCGGCCCCAAAAUAGGAUGACAUUUCGGAAAGGGACUGCUUGAAUCUGUAUUAGUUGACUCCCCGGUAGAUGAGACGGGAGUUAUAGUAGCAUACCGAUCCUGUUCCUGUGAGAGUUAUAGUCUGCAUCCCGGUAGUACUAUGGCGUAAAGGUCUAGGUCAUCUGCUUGUGUUAAGCAAGUAGUCAAUCUAUCUCCUUUGUAGGCUUGUCCACUACUAAAUCACUACUAUUCUAUAUAUAGGAAACAAGAAUUGGCUGCUCCUGUUAUAACCAAGUCCUUUGUUCGGCUCAUCCAUUUCGGGUCCGUUAGCUUUGAAAAUGUCUUUGCUAUGUUUUUUCUCGGGAAAACGUAAAAGUAUCAUCGCCUAUGUCUUCCAAGCCUAGGAAGUAUAUAACUCUCUUCUGAAAGGCCGGAGCACUCGCAUUCAAAGAAAUAGUAGAAGCUGGAUAUAGCUCUUUUUCCUCUGAUACGGAUCUCUUGGCCCCUAUUCAUUUACUUACUCUACUUAUACUUACUAUACUAAUACAUAACUCUUUAACUCCUUUACUAGCUACAUAGUAUAAGAACAUUCGUACUGUAUCAAUUCUUAUCUCCUAAGUACUGAGUUUAGCCUAGUUGAUUAGUUUCUGUUUCCCCUGCAGAGUCUCGGUCAAGUCCUGUGCUCGUCGGGUUGAAGACCUUGAGUACAGCUCCUGGUGGUACUGCUCUUGUUCACGUUAAAGAGAGGAAGUCAGGUGCUCCAUAGGUUCAAUUCAAUGACUCUGGUAUUGAAGUUCAGAAUGCAAUUCGUUGACAUAGUAGUUUGCCGGAGGAGAGAUUGAGUUGCCAGCAGCCCCAGUUCCAGCUUGUUGAAUUCUGUAUUUUAUCCUUAUUUAAGAUUAUUUAUUUAUGACUUGGGAUUGGAUUCUGGCACGACCGGCCUCCCCACAAAUACGGAAUUUACAUCUCAUCUAGUAAAGCAAGCAUGUGGUAUAGACCCGUAAAGACACUACACAGCAGCAGACUUGAUCACUACACUUUCCGGUCUUGUAGCUUCCUUUCGCACUGCUUCUUUUUGAGUCAAUUACUUAACUGCUUCUUUCACUAUCAUUGGAUGGGAACUCCUCGUAUUCAUGGUCAAAAGGCGGAAUAAGGCUUAUUUCUCGUCUGUAAGGCAAGGUGUUCAAGCCGGAUUUAUAGUACUCGUGUUCAAGGGCUGGCUUCUCUUCUUUAACUCCACUUUCAACUGCUCUGCUCCAUCUUCUUAACCUUCUUAAGAUCUCUCUUCCUUUGCUUUUUCUUUUGUCGAACAAUACUCUCUCUUUUCUUGUCUACCGUACUCAACCUGCGAGCUACAUCGGUGACGACACUGCUUCUCAAUAUUAAUAGGAUUUAAACAAGAACAUAACUCGUAUGAGGGACAGAUGAAGUUGCCAGAUCGGAGGGAUAUGAUUUGCUUGUUUCGUCAGCUGCAAGUGAAGUUGAAGUGGGAAAUGAAUCAGAAAGUGGAGUCUCGGAGAGAGGUUUCCAAGUUGUCGGUGCUUGUGGAGUUACGCACUUUACUCGGCGCGUAAGGCGCCAAGCAACUACUAACGACCAAGCUUAGGCGCAAGACUAAGUGCGGUAGCCAAGGUAAUAGAUAUGACAAGUUAUUACAAUAGAUGCUUUUGGGGCCGCUCCACUCUUUUGGAGAAAAUGACUUAUUUAUUGCGCUAACAGGAGGGGCAAGUGAGGAUGAAGGCGAAACACUAAGUGCUAACAGGUAAGUUCAAUCUUUUACUGCUUCUCUUCUAGACUAACUUAUACGCUCAAUAUCAAUAGUAAUAUCUUCCAUUCCUUUUUUCUUUCCUUGGCGCAAGGCUCUUAGCACCUUGUUUGCGUCUUCAAGUAUAGAGUCGAGAUCGGGAUCAGGACCUUAAGUAGGGGAAGAUGAAGCAGCGGUGUCGAAGUAAGCUGUUAUCAAGUCAGGUUUUCUGUUUUCCUAGUUGACUCGGAUAAAGGGAAGGAAAGGGAGCAGCUGAAUUCCAACUUAUCUAUUUGAGAGCACUACACUAGGGGGGGUCGGUCAAUUCUGACUUCAUAGUGUGGAGUGCACGGUUCUCAAUAUAUCUAAUAGGGGAGCGGGUCACUCUAAUGAUUCUCCCACGGAGGGGAUACAGCUUAAUAUCUUUCUGCCACGGAUUAUCUCUCUCUAAGACACCUUACCUUGCCAAUUGCCUGUUUUUAUUGAAUCAUUGGGCACCACUCCAACAUCCCUACUACUUAUAAAUCCCAACCCAGUGCGGGCUCAACACCCGAUGAACUUAUUGCUUCGAAAGCAAAUCAAUCAUCUUAACCUUAUCCAGUAUAUGAUCUCUACUCCUUUCUUGAAACAGUAGAUUCUCUAUCUCCUACUAAAGAUACUUACUCCUUAUACAUCUUCGUAUCUGGCUCUCCAACUUAUCUAUCUCCGUAUCUGGGUCCAGCUCCAAACUAUCCUUACUUAGAGUCCACACCUGAACUAGCAGACCCGCCCGCCUGCUUCCUUAAGAAUACGCAAUACUUCACCCUAUUAAGAAGAAGAAAUAGGUGUUGUGUUUGGGCGAAUCAAGAUAAGUGUACGGAAAACGAUCUUAAGCAGGAACAGGAUAAACAUUAGAUGAAGGAAGGCUAUAUUCAUUUCUGAAUGAAAGUAAAGGAGCAAGCCAGAGGUAUAUUACCAUAAAGCAAAGCUGGAAGGGAAUCCUCCUUAUCUUCUCGCCAACCCAUGUGCUCUAAGGUCACUCACCCACCUAACGAAGGUAACUAUAAGAAGAUAACUAUAGAGAAGCGGGUUCACUAGAGGAAAGUAGAUCACUCGAGUAGCAGGAUUGAUCAGCGCACAAAGCCUUGUUCCAGAGAAAAGUAUGGUGAAGGUUUUGCGUACCUCCUGUAAUAAUUAGUUUCAGAAGUGAGUUACAGGCUCAUAAGCUGUGCUCGUUAAGUCUACAAGAGUGGAGGAAUAGAUAAGGAUGAGUAAUAAUAGUCUAAGAAUCCAAGUUGGGAGUGGAAGGCUAAUAGACAGGAGAGUCCGAAUGAAAGGACCAAGCGCGAAGGAGUGGGAAGUCACCUUGCAAGUAAGAAUGGAACUUGAUUGUUGAAGUUGAAGAAUGAUUUGUUGCCCUGCCAAGCCGGUAAGAUGACAAAAGAAAGGGAAGCAGUCUUGAGUAUAGAUUGAGGUAAGAUUACCUUAUCUACAGGGUCUCGAAAGAAUCAAUGAAUUCUGAAGCAGACAGUUGAGUCCGUAACAUUUAGUAUAGAAAAACUGUAAACAAACGGAAGAAGAAUAGAGGAUAGGGCAUCACUAUGUAAAUAAGUAAGUAAACUGCCUAUUCAGGACUAACCCCUUGGAUGAAAAUAUGGGAACACAUAUCAAUAGGAUGAGAAUGCCUUACCUCCGCCCUAGGUACCUUCUUUAUACAUUACCUAUGGACCUGAAACCCAUACUGGAAUUCCAUUCAUGAGCCCUUAUAUACUAUCUUAUUUAUUAUUUAUUUGACUAUCUUUUCCCUUAUAUACUAUCUGACGGAAUUCGCCCUUAUUGACUAUCUAUUCAUUCACGCUUAUCUACUAUCGGAAUUAACCCUUAUUGACUUUUCUGAUUUCUUAUUGAUUUGACUAUCUUUUCCCUUAUAUACUAUCUUAUUUAUUAUUUAUUUGACUAUCUUUUCCCUUAUAUACUAUCUGAUUUCCUUCUCAAUCCAUAGAAUCAAUGAAUAAUAGAAUUGUCUCUCUCUCCUCUCUCCUGAUAGGAUAUAGGACUGGACAAAGGCAAGGGAAAGAAUAAGAAGACGAGAAGGUUAGUUGCCGGAGUGGGCAAUAGGUCCUAAAGUGGAUUAUGGACAUACCAGUCUAGCUAUUAUCUAGUAAUAAGGACAGAAAUACAAGAAAAUCCGUUAAUGAACUACCCAGAGGUUUGUGUUAAUUAGUUCAGGACAGAGGCGGAGGACAACGUCUACAACCCUUACGUGGACAAUAGGCACCAACAAAUAAGGAAUCUAAUAUUUCCCUGGACACUGACUUACAUAAAUGAGCGUUCCUAAGAAUCUAUUUUUCAUACUAUGUUAUUUGCCUCUCAACUUUAAUGAAAUCCAAGUAGUCAACUAUUCCAUAAUUGAGUAUUAAGGUAAACACACUCCUUUAGUAUUGAUAUUAUUCUUGUAACCAAAGUCUGAGUUACAUAUUCUAUUUCUUUCGUUUUGUGAAAUCUUUCUAUCCUCCAUUCUAUUGAUUGAUAGGAAAUGCAAUGAUCUAUUUAGUGCUCCAAUCUUCAUUCCAAUAAUCUAGCAGUAAGGAGUGAGUUCUUAUAUACUUUCUUUGGUUGGAAAACCCAACGCCAAGUCUCUAGUUGUCUCCUUUCUCUUUUCGGGGGAGCAGAGCAGUCAAAGAAUGGAAAAGGAAAUGAUUCUUCAUUCAUUAUCAUGGCGAUUCCUCACAAUUGCUCCUUGUGAUGCUGCGGAACCCUGGCAAUUAGGAUCUCAAAAUGCAGCAACACCUAUUAUGCAAGGAAUCAUUUACUUACAUCAUGAUAUCUUUUUCUUCCUUAUUCUGAUUUUGGUUUUCGUAUCACGGAUCUUGGUUCGCGCCUUAUGGCAUUUCCACGAGCAAACUAAUCCUGUUCCGCAAAGGAUUGUUCAUGGAACUACUAUUGAGAUUAUUCGGACCAUAUUUCCAAGUAUCAUACCGAUGUUCAUUGCUAUACCAUCGUUUGCUCUAUUAUACUCAAUGGACGAGGUAGUUGUAGAUCCAGCCAUUACUAUUAAAGCUAUUGGACAUCAAUGGUAUUGGAGUGCGCCUCUUAACGAGGGUGAUUUAAGUGCUUAGAAAUGUACCGGUAGUUCGCGAAGCAUCUGGCUUACCAGUAAUCUCCCAUUCCCGGCGUCGAGAGACUAUAAGAACAAUAGCAUGCCAGAAACUGGGGAGUUUCAGUGGUUAGACCUAUACCCGGAAAUGCUCCCAGCAUAGGAGCCUAUGGUGCAAUUCCUUUUGUUGCUGGAGGUACACAUACCUCUUUUCUCGGUGUGGAAGUAAUAUACGAAAAAUAGAUGCUUAGGCAUGCAAUGUCCGAUAACAGCGCUGAAGUAGUUCAUCUAUCGGCACCACAGCACAGUGGCAUACAACUUUCUACCUAACGGCCGGCCCCGUCACCUUUCGGAAUGAGGGAUCCCCGUUGGCAACAACCACAGUAGUAGUAGCAGAACUACUGGGCCAAGACAAGAGAGCAAAACCGGUUCUUCCUUUUCCUCUUUCUUCGCUUCGGGGACGGAGGUCCUACAGUAGGUAACAGCAUGCACAAGCAACCGAAGGGGACCAGCGCUUCUACUACGGAACCGAGGAGCCGUUCGCAGCGAUAAGCAAGGGAUGUCGUGAACGGUUGGAAAAGGUCAAACAUAGAGAAUUCAACAAAGUGAUGUCGUAAACAGUAUAGUAGGGAGGUCAAAUAGAAUUUCCCUAAGCGAUUCGUGAACAGUAGGAGGUCAGUCAAACAUAGAGAAUUCCACUCAGCGAUGUCGUAAACAGUAUAGUAGGGAGGUUCAAUCUCAUUUACCUAUGAAUAGAGUCAUCCUAUUCUCUCUCAAUGGAUAUAAUUUCGAAUAUCUCUUUUGCUUAGUCAUCCUAUUCUCUCACUUUUGCUUAGUCAUCCUAUUCUCUCACAAUGGAGGAUCUAAUUUCGAAUAUCUCUUCUGUCCUAAAUUAGAUAAAGAUAUAAGGGUUACUCAAUCAAUUCAAUUACCCGCUGGCAUAAUGCAGGCUAGAAGUGGGAAUUCAAGGUCUCAUGAACGACUUUCUUUUAGUGGAAUCACUUUCUGGUCAGAGGCCUAUAGAUAGAUCCUUUUAGAUCUAAGGUCCGGCCAUUCACAUUCGCAUUGAGAAUCUAUACUCCUUACUGGAGAGGUUAGGAAUAACUCAGUAUCUUAUCUAUUGGGGCCUACAACUUAGCCGAGCCGACUAAGCAUCACUCUUUCUUUUCUUUUCGAACAAAGAAGACGAACUUCACUUACUAUAGGAUCGAAUUCGCUUUCCGGUAGUGAACAGGUCGUGUCGUCCCAUACCUUCUCUUCUGACUGUAAUAUUAGUGUUGAACUGAGUAGUGUUGAACUGAGUCCUUUUUGGUUCCAGCUUCACUUCAGUAGGUAGGGCUGGGCUCAAAAGGGUGGGUCUGCCUAUGAAUAAGUAAGCGGGCCUUCGAUUCCACCGGGGUCUUACGGUCUUUCUCUGAUAGGGGACUUAACUAACCAAAUAAUAAUAGUGCUUGCUUGCUCUCUUUAUAAGAGUAGGCAAAAUAAUAAUAAUAGUGCUUGCUGAGUUUAUAGGUUUUAGUAGGCUCAUCAUAGUGCUUGCUGAGUUUAUAGGUGUUCUAGUAGGCUAAAGAAGAAUAGUGCUCCGUAUCCGUUUAUAGGAGUAGGCGUGGAAAGCUUUUAGCAGGUAACCUUGCAAGUUCAGUUUGGGGGGAGGCGGGCGUCGACCCAACCUUAUGAGUAUUCGGACUAUAACAGUGGAGAUGAAGAGUCACUCACUUUUGACAGUUAUAUGAUUCCAGAAGAUGAUCUAGAAUUGGGUCAAUCACGUUUAUUAGAAGUUGACAAUAGAGUGGUUGUACCAGCCAAAACAAAUCUACGUAUGAUUGUAACACCUGCUGAUGUACCUCAUAGUUGGGCUGUACCUUCUUCAGGUGUCAAAUGUGAUGCUGUACCAGGUCGUUCAAAUAAUACCUCUAUUUUUAUACAACGAGAAGGAGUUUACUAUGGUCAGUGCAGUGAGAUUCGUGGAACUAAUCAUGCCUUUACGCGUGCGCCCGGAUACAUAGGCCGACAGCUGAGCCCACUCUGGCUUAGCCGCACCACCCGUGGUAGGGGUGCGAGCCACCCGAUAAGCAAGCUAUUACAGCGAGCCGCUUGAGCAGUAGGGAGCCGAGGAGCAAGGCAGUAGAUAAGAUCUAAUAUUGGGCCAGGCUCCCGGUAGAGCAGGGGAAACGGUUAGGAUAACCAACUUGAAACGCGGAGCCCGAGCGGCCGGCGAGCGAGUGGUUAGUGGCAAAUAGCGCCCUAGUUGAUGGCAUUCCUCUCUGCGGCUGGCACUAGAGGAACCACGGGACACUCCAUACAAAGGCAAACUCGUCUUAGGGAUGAGACGCCCGCGCAAGGACCUCAAUUCUCAUUAGGAGGUCGAACCAAGGAACUAUAGAAGUCGGGGAUACCCCGUCCCAUGGCAACGCAACAGUGUCCUGAGGAAGGAGUUUAGAGGCCUUAUAGUAGCACAGACCUUUAAUUCCAGGUCAUGCGAAGGGGGCCAGUCCAAGAUCUACAACUCUUCUUAUUAAAUGAAAAGACAAGAGACGCUCUCAACGGUUAGGCGCCACUCUAAGUUAUUCUCAAGCUUCCGAGAGGCGAAGGGAUUUCACCUAUGAUCUGAUUAGUAGGCAACCAACGUGUACUUUUCGUGUUGUUGACGUUGACUUUCAAGCUCAUUUGGAAGGAUUCUCGGAGCUACUCCCAGCUCAAACUAUGGUCGCAGAGGUCUCUUAGUUCAGAUCUAGGAGUGUGAGCAGUACGAGCGGAAAGGCUCUCAUACUGUUUUGAGGGAAGGGGGCUACGAUGCCAAACCUUACCCCUAUCCAUCGUCGUAGAAGCAGUUUCUUUGAAAGAUUAUGGUUCUCGGGUAUUCAAUCAAUUAAUCCUCCAAACCAACUAACCCGUGGAAGCGGAAGCAAUAGUAGGGUGAGGGAAGUGGGAAGCUCAAGGAAGGCUUCGCUCGCUCAAUUCGCUCGGUGGAGUGCAUAAGCCCUAUUUCUUUUAUUGAAGUAGUAGAGGC
rnacentral:lncRNA from 1 species